UACGUAGGGGGCUAGCGUUGUCCGGAAUCAUUGGGCGUAAAGCGCGUGUAGGCGGCCCGGUAAGUCCGCUGUGAAAGUCGGGGGCUCAACCCUCGAAUGCCGGUGGAUACUGUCGGGCUCGAGUGCGGAAGAGGCGAGUGGAAUUCCUGGUGUAGCGGUGAAAUGCGCAGAUAUCAGGAGGAACACCGAUUGCGAAGGCAGCUCGCUGGACGUUACUGACGCUGAGGCA
rnacentral:rRNA from 1 species